rnacentral:rRNA from 2 species
AAUCGGCCACAUUGGGACUGAGACACGGCCCAAACUCCUACGGGAGGCAGCAGUAGGGAAUCUUCCACAAUGGACGAAAGUCUGAUGGAGCAACGCCGCGUGAGUGAAGAAGGGUUUCGGCUCGUAAAACUCUGUUGUUAAAGAAGAACAUAUCUGAGAGUAACUGUUCAGGUAUUGACGGUAUUUAACCAGAAAGCCACGGCUAACUACGUGCCAGCAGCCGCGGUAAUACGUAGGUGGCAAGCGUUGUCCGGAUUUAUUGGGCGUAAAGCGAGCGCAGGCGGUUUUUUAAGUCUGAUGUGAAAGCCUUCGGCUCAACCGAAGAAGUGCAUCGGAAACUGGGAAACUUGAGUGCAGAAGAGGACAGUGGAACUCCAUGUGUAGCGGUGAAAUGCGUAGAUAUAUGGAAGAACACCAGUGGCGAAGGCGGCUGUCUGGUCUGUAACUGACGCUGAGGCUCGAAAGUAUGGGUAGCAAACAGGAUUAGAUACCCUGGUAGUCCAUACCGUAAACGAUGAAUGCUAAGUGUUGGAGGGUUUCCGCCCUUCAGUGCUGCAGCUAACGCAUUAAGCAUUCCGCCUGGGGAGUACGGCCGCAAGGCUGAAACUCAAAGGAAUUGACGGGGGCCCGCACAAGCGGUGGAGCAUGUGGUUUAAUUCGAAGCUACGCGAAGAACCUUACCAGGUCUUGACAUACUAUGCAAAUCUAAGAGAUUAGACGUUCCCUUCGGGGACAUGGAUACAGGUGGUGCAUGGUUGUCGUCAGCUCGUGUCGUGAGAUGUUGGGUUAAGUCCCGCAACGAGCGCAACCCUUAUUAUCAGUUGCCAGCAUUAAGUUGGGCACUCUGGUGAGACUGCCGGUGACAAACCGGAGGAAGGUGGGGAUGACGUCAAAUCAUCAUGCCCCUUAUGACCUGGGCUACACACGUGCUACAAUGGAUGGUACAACGAGUUGCGAACUCGCGAGAGUAAGCUAAUCUCUUAAAGCCAUUCUCAGUUCGGAUUGUAGGCUGCAACUCGCCUACAUGAAGUCGGAAUCGCUAGUAAUCGCGGAUCAGCAUGCCGCGGUGAAUACGUUCCCGGGCCUUGUACACACCGCCCGUCACACCAUGAGAGUUUGUAACACCCAAAGUCGG